rnacentral:lncRNA from 1 species
UGUAGGUGUCUGUGGUGUUGCCAUGGCUGUGAUGCAGGUGGCAGACACAGCUUGGAUCCCACAUGGCUGUGGCUGCAAUUCAACCCCUAGCCUGGGAACUUCCAUAUGUCACAGGUCUGGCCCUAAAAAGCAAAAAAAAAAAAGUUAAAAAAUAAAAAAAUAAAUAGUUUCACUCAGCUGCUGCCUAGGGGGAAUUUGGGAACCAAUGCUAAUAGAUUUUUUAAAUUCCACUUAAUAUCAUCUCAGCCCUGUUUGAAGUGCUUAAGAUACUGAUUUAACACAUCCCCAAAGAUGUGGUGAAGCUUUCCUCAAACCUGUUACUUCACAGUUCAUGAUAGACUUCCUGGCAUGUGUAGGUCAGCAGUGUCCUCUCUGUGUACUCUUCCUUCAUCAUCUUUGCUGGUAUUUUCUGGGGUACCUUGGACCUCAAAUCACAGAGUGAGGAGUUCCUGUCGUGGCGCAGUGGUUAACGAAUCUGACUAGGAACCAUGAGGUUGCGGGUUCGGUCCCUGCCCUUGCUCAGUGGGUUAAUGAUCCGGUGUUGCCGUGAGCUGUGGUGUAGGUUGCAGACGCGGCUCGGAUCCCGCAUUGCUGUGGCUCUGGCUUAGGCCGGUGGCUACAGCUCCGAUUUGACUCCUAGCCUGGGAACCUCCACAUGCCACAGGAGCGGCCCAAGAAAUGGCAAAAAGACAAAAAAAAAAAAAAAAAAAAAAAAAAAAAAAAAAAAACCAGAAACAAACCAAACAAAAAAAAAAACAAACAUGCAAUGACAGACCAGCAAAUCAAGAGCGACAGAAUGAAGUUUGUUUGUUUUUUUGUUUUUACAAGUUUUCAAAUGGUUCUGGCUUUGUUUUUCUUGGAAUACACUUCCUUAAGGAUUUGAAUCCUGUUCAUUUGACUGGACUCCAGAACUCUGAGACAGAGCCAUGGGUCAGCCAGGACUUAGGAGCAGUUCAUGAAGUAGAGACUAAAGGUGCAAGGCGAAUGGCAACGUGGGCUACAUCACUGGACCCGAAAGGUGCUGAAAAAGGUGGAAUCUAAAUCUCAACCAAGAAGCAGAGUGGCCAGUUCCACACACCAUCACAAUGUGGACAGCGUGCAGUGAGCAAGCCCACGACUCUUUUUUUUGUUGUUUUUUAUUUUUUUGUCAUUUGUCUUUUUAGGGCCGCACCUGGGUCCUAUGGAGGGACUCAGGCUA